rnacentral:rRNA from 1 species
GAUGAACGCUGGCGGCGUGCCUAAUACAUGCAAGUCGAGCGAAUGGAUUAAGAGCUUGCUCUUAUGAAGUUAGCGGCGGACGGGUGAGUAACACGUGGGUAACCUGCCCAUAAGACUGGGAUAACUCCGGGAAACCGGGGCUAAUACCGGAUAACAUUUUGAACCGCAUGGUUCGAAAUUGAAAGGCGACUUCGGCUGUCACUUAUGGAUGGACCCGCGUCGCAUUAGCUAGUUGGUGAGGUAACGGCUCACCAAGGCAACGAUGCGUAGCCGACCUGAGAGGGUGGUCGGCCACCCUGGGACUGAGACACGGCCCAGACUCCUACGGGAGGCAGCAGUAGGGAAUCUUCCGCAAUGGACGAAAGUCUGACGGAGCAACGCCGCGUGAGUGAUGAAGGCUUUCGGGUCGUAAAACUCUGUUGUUAGGGAAGAACAAGUGCUAGUUGAAUAAGCUGGCACCUUGACGGUACCUAACCAGAAAGCCACGGCUAACUACGUGCCAGCCGCCGCCGUAA